ensembl:snRNA U6 U6 spliceosomal RNA
GUGCUCACUGGGCAGCACAUAUACUAAAAUUGGGACAAUACAGAGAUUAGCCUGGGCCCUGCCUAAGGAUGACACUCAAAUUUAUAAAGUGUUCCAGAUUUUU